rnacentral:rRNA from 1 species
UGAGGAAUAUUGCGCAAUGGGGGCAACCCUGACGCAGCAACGCCGCGUGAGUGAGGAAGGUUUUCGGGUCGUAAAGCUCUGUCAGAUGGAAAGAAAUGCAUGGGGGUUAAUAGCCUUCAUGCUUGACGGUACCAUCAGAGGAAGCACCGGCUAACUCCGUGCCAGCAGCCGCGGUAAUACGGGGGGUGCAAGCGUUGUUCGGAAUCAUUGGGCGUAAAGAGCGUGUAGGCGGCUUGAUAAGUCAGAUGUGAAAGCCCUGGGCUCAACCUGGGAAGUGCAUUUGAAACUGUCAUGCUUGAGCAGGGGAGAGGGAAGUGGAAUUCCUGGUGUAGAGGUGAAAUUCGUAGAUAUCAGGAGGAACACCAGUGGCGAAAGCGGCCUCCUGGACCAUUCCUGACACUCAGACGCGAAAGCUAGGGUAGCAAACG